UACGGAGGGUCCAAGCGUUAUCCGGAUUUAUUGGGUUUAAAGGGUCCGUAGGCGGAAGAAUAAGUCAGUGGUGAAAGCCUGUCGCUCAACGAUAGAAUUGCCAUUGAUACUGUUUUUCUUGAAUGCAAAUGAAGUGGGCGGAAUGUGUCAUGUAGAGGUGAAAUGCUUAGAUAUGACACAGAACACCGAUUGCGAAGGCAGCUCACUAAAUUGUGAUUGACGCUGAGGGACGAAAGCGUGGGGAGCGAACAGG
rnacentral:rRNA from 1 species